AUCAAUAAGCGGAGGAAAAGAAAACAAAAGUGAUUCCCUGAGUAACUGCGAGUGAAAAGGGACAUAGCCCAACGCAAAGGCAUAGUACCUUUAAACAGGUACUAGGCGAUGCUGCGUAUUUGUUAAGUGUUCAAGUUGAGAACUAUGUGCUGGCAUGUACCGCAACGAAAUAUCAAGUAGUUGGCCAAAGAGGGUGAGAGCCCCGUACUGGUACGAGUAAGUCCACGCAAGUUAAUACGCGAACCUAAGCAAAGGAGUAGGCUUGCUUGAGAGUGCAGGCUGAAGUAGGAGGUAUGCAUCUCCUAAGGCUAAAUAUCACUGCGAGACCGAUAGCGAACAAGUAGCGUGAGCGAAAGUUGAAAAGAACUUUGAAGAGAGAGUUCAAUAGAACGUGAAACCACUAAUAGGUAAGCGGGUGGUACCUCGAAGUAGCGUGAAAACGAGCUUGUUAUCAAUGCAUGUCUGGAGAAUAGUGUGCACUUGAGUAUAGUUACCGUGCUUGCACGCGUGAAAACCUCAAGUGUGCAAAUACUAUUGUACCGGUGCUUGGUAGUAUGCAGGUUCGUUGCUAAUAUCCUGAGUGAUCAGAAGGCUAGAUAGGCAACCACUUUGUGGAAACACUGAGAUUGCGAGUACUCAGAAACCUUUUACUGGGCUGUUUUGAGUAUCAUCUCGGGUGAACACCUUACGGUGAACACUUUGCAUUUACUCACGCGUUCUCGUGUGGUUUAAGUAAUGCAAGUGUAUCAUGUCUCUAUCAAAAUAGCGAACUGAUCACAAUGAAAUUCAGGGUAUAGUAGGUCGGUAUUCCACCUGCCCCGUCUUGAAACACGGACCAAGGAGCCCAACAUAUACGCAAGUCGAUCAGUGUUGAAUAAACUUGAUAGGCGAAAUGAAAGUAAAGUACUUUCUGUGCAUUUAUGUGCAGAGAGCUAUGAAGUCAGUAGUGUACAACGCACUGACUGCAAUGGCGAUACGUACGUUUGUAUUGUAUCAGAGCGUAUAUGGUGGUACCCGAAAGAUGGUGAACUAUACUUGAGCAGGGUGAAGCCAAAGGAAACUUUGGUGGAAGCUCGCAGCAGUUUUGACGUGCAAAUCGAUUGUCAGACUUGAGUAUAGCGGCGAAAGACUAAUCGAACCAUCUAGUAGCUGGUUUCCUCUGAAGUUUCCCGCAGGAUAGCAAGCACUCAGUCACAAUCAGUAAGACCUGUUACAGCAAUGAUAGAGGGUAACAGGGCAUUAAGUGGCCUUGUCCUUUACUUAAACUGGUUAAACGGGUCACUCAAAGCGUGUUCGUUUACAUACGCUUGACUAAUUUAAGUCUAACUUAUGAUAGUGCUUAGUGGGCCAUUUUUGGUAAGCAGAACUGGCGAUGUGGGAUGAACCAAACACAGAGUUAAAGUGCUAAAAGUGUUUGUAACGCACAUAAGAGCCCACAAAAGAUGUUGUUCGCUAUAGACAGUAGGACGGUGGCCAUGGAAGUCGGCAUCCGCUAAGGAGUGUGUAACAACUCACCUACCGAAGCGUUCAGCUCUGAAAAUGGAUAGCGCUUAAGCGUUAUACUGAUACUCUGUCGUAGAAGUGUGUGUCUCUGAUUCAAUGUGCAUGCAGUAUGCAUUUUCUUUUGCGUAGGUGCCCAGUCACUUACUAAGAACAUUGCUUAUACUCUGUGCAUGCACACAGUGCACAAAUAAUAAAACUUCUACGUGUAAGAGGAAUGUAGUGAUAGCGUCGAAGGCUUAGACGUAAGUCGGGCUGGAGCUUUCACUAGUACAGAUCUUGGUGGUAGUAGCAAUAACUCAAGUGAGAACCUUGAGGACCGACGUGGAUAAGGGUUCCAUGUGAACAGUAGUUGAUCAUGGGUUAGUCGAUCCUAAGAGGUGCGGCGAAAGCCGUAUCGAUAGAGUCUUCUACACUUUGCGUGUGAAGAACCUCGAAAGGGAAAUGGGUAAAUAUUCCCAUACCUAGUCGCAAGUAUUCUGUGUGUAGCAUAUCUCGGUAUGUGAAACGCAUUGCGGUAACGCGUUCGAGCUCAGAGACGUUAGCCUAAGUCCUGGGAAGAGUUGUCUUUUCUUCCUUAAGGAGUUGCUGAGUCCUUUGAAACAGGUUAUCUGGAGAAAAGGAGGAUAGCACCGAAAUGCAUCGCGGUUCAUGCGGUGUAUCAGUGUACUUAGGUUAGCCCUUGAAAAUCUGAGUAAGUUAUUCCAAAACUUGUGCUAGAUCGUACCUAGAUCCGCAGCAGGUAUCCAAGGUUAACAGCCUCUGGUCUAUUAGAAUAAUGUAAGUAAGGGAAGUCGGCAAAACAGAUCCGUAUCCUUGGAACAAGGAUUGGCUCUGACAAGUGUGUUGACUGGGCCGAUGCAUAGUACGUAAGUAUUGACCACUUUGACUGGUGCGCUCACUGUUUUAGUCUUCGGGCUAGAGCACACAGGCCGCCGGACUUUGUGCGAAAAGCUUGCUGAACACUUCGGGUACGGUUGACUAAAUAGACACUAUAAGU
rnacentral:rRNA from 1 species